rnacentral:rRNA from 1 species
GUAUAGCAAUAGCUACUUGCAUCAUAGUAGAUAUGAUGCAAGAUCGACUAUGUUGAAUAAAAUUCUAGGUAGAAUUAUGAUAAUGACAUUGUCUGCCUAUGUGUCUUGACCAAAUUACGUGCCAGCAGUCGCGGUAAUACGUAGAAGACUAGUGUUAUUCAUGUUUAAUCGGUUUAAAGGGUACCUAGACGGUAGAUCAAGCUUUCUAAUAAAGGAAAAGGACUAAUUUACUAGAGUUACUUAUGAGGGGGUAUUAAAGUACUGCUGGUGUAGAGAUGAAAUUCUGUCAUACCUCUUUUCAAAAGAAAAACCAUGGCACAGGUAUAGGCGAAGGCAUCCCCUUAUGUGAUAACUGACGUUGAGGGACGAAGGCUUUGUGUAGCGAACAGGAUUAGAUACCCCAGUAGUCGAAGCAGAAAAUGAUGAAUGUCAUAGAUUAGAUAUAUAAGUUUAUUCUAUAAAUGAAAGUGUAAGCAUUCCACCUCAUGAGUAAUUUGGCAACAUUGGAACUGAAAUCAUUAGACCGUUUCUGAAACCAGUAGUGAAGUAUGUUGUUUAAUUUGAUGCCCCGCAAAAAACCUUACCACAAUUUGAAUAUUUAUAUUAUUUAUUGUUUUAUUAUUAAUUUUYUUAUAKUAWKAUAUURUUWUAUUAUUAAUUUUCUUAUAGUAAGAAUAUUAAUAAAGAGGCAAUAAGAUAUAUUUACAAGCGUUGCACGGCUGUCUUCAGUUAAUGUCGCGAGACUUUGGUUAGUUCCAUUAAAUUAACGUAAACCCUUACUUUAUUUUUAUAUAGAGUAGUUCCCCGCUAUAUUGGAUAUGAUAACAGG